rnacentral:tRNA from 1 species
GGGUCGUUAGCUCAGUUGGUAGAGCAGUCUCAGUUGGUAGAGCAGUUGACUUUUAAUCAAUUGGUCGCAGGUUCGAAUCCUGCACGACCCACCA